rnacentral:tmRNA from 1 species
GGGGGCGUAAAGGUUUCGACGGGGACUGUGCAGUGGAAUAAGCGAGCAGAGUUGGCAUCGUCUCUUUAAAACGAAGCACGUUUUAAAUUAAACGCUAAAAGAAAUAUCUCUGUAAGCUUCAACAGAAGCUUACAGGUAGCUGCCUAAGUCAGCUACUGUCGCCCACAGGAGUACCACGGCCUGUGCUGCGGCAUAACGCAGUGGUGAACGAUUCUUCGGCCUGUUCACACCGUUGAAUGGCAUUUGAACUACGGACAGUUGCAGCCUGUUUAUCGGCGGCUUUUGUCCGGAAUUUGAAAAGAUAAACUACGCUCGUAGAAAGUUGCAGGAAUCGGUUUUCGGACACGAGUUCGAUUCUCGUCGCCUCCACCA